rnacentral:rRNA from 1 species
GACAGAGGUGCCAAGCGUUAGGCGGAAUCACUGGGCUUAAAGCGUGCGUAGGCGGGUCGUUAAGUACCUUGUGAAAUCCCACGGCUCAACCGUGGAACGGCUGGGUAUACUGGCGAUCUUAAGCCACCUAGGGGCAGUCGGAACAAGUGGUGGAGCGGUGAAAUGCGUAGAUAUCACUUGGAACGCCAAUGGUGAAAACAGACUGCUGGGGGUGUGCUGACGCUGAGACACGAAAGCCAGGGGAGCAAACGGG